AGCCCGAAGGCGCAAUGAAAGUGAAGGUCGGUGGUUCUGGCCGACCGAGGCGGGAUCCGUCCGGGUUCGAUCCGUCGAUCGCUGACUGGCCGCAAGGUCCGUUUCGGUCGCGGCAAAGAGCCCGGCGGCGCACCGCCGGCCCGUCUCGACCGCUUCUUGUCGGCGAGGCGGAGCAAGAGCGCACACGUUGGGACCCGAAAGAUGGUGAACUAUGCUCGGGCAGGACGAAGCCAGAGGAAACUCUGGUGGAGGUCCGUAGCGAUUCUGACGUGCAAAUCGAUCGUCGGACCCGAGUAUAGGGGCGAAAGACUAAUCGAACCGUCU
rnacentral:rRNA from 1 species